AUGGAACAAUUGGCCACACACAGUGAACGUCACAUCGGCGCCUUCCCCGUCCUGCAGCAUGUUCCCGAAAUCCUGGUGCAGAUUCGACGGCGGAACCACGAUCGAAUUGGUCUCGACGUCCUGGGUGCGGGACUCUUUGGUGACGGUGAGCAGGCACCUGAUGGUGAGGCAGUCGUUCUCGAGGAACGGCGAGCCCUUGAUCUUGGACUUCUCGAUGAACUUGAUGAAGCCCCAAUUGUCACUCGCCGGAGAGAAUGUGUGCUUCAUAUAGGAGUUGGUUACCUGGGACAGCCGGCCGUCGUUCUCGAUCAGGUUGAGGGUGAACCUGGCCCUGACGUCCUUUUCGCGGCUGAAGUAGUAGAGGAAGGCGGAGGCGUUGCCGAGGCAGUUGGCGGUGGAGCCGUCCGGGUAGAACCUGACGGCCCAGUCGAGGCCGCCGACGGUGAAGGUGCUGGAGCUGACGAAGCGGCCGACGCCCAUGCCGUCGAGCAGCGAGUAGCCCGUGACCCGGAAGUCGUGGACGGCGGUGACCGAGUCCGUCACGCUCAUCGACGACGUCUUGGGCAGGCAGUGGCCCGGCGCGACGGCGGGGAAUUCGCGGUGAUCACCCAUGGAAGGAGGAGCAGGGGGCGACAGGCCGAUGAUUAUCAGCGGAGGGGUUUCUGGAGGCUGGAGUCGACGAGGGCAUUGCAGGGCCGCGCGGAUCGGUCCCGAUGGCCUCAGCGGCGCGCCCCGGCGGCGGAUCGGCGGGCGUCGGGGGAGACGACCAUCGGGGGACCGGUCGGGGGAGGAUCCGGGGAGGUAGGGGCGGAAGUGAAUCCCCCUCCCGCUUGA
rnacentral:rRNA from 1 species